AUGGUGAUGCAUAGCAAUGAGAGGGGAGAAUGCAGUAGACUGAUGUUUAUUGCUGUUUUGUUAAUUGUACAGAACGAGGAAGCAUCCAAGGUUGAGUAUAGGGCUCCUGGAACACGUGUGAUGUACCUCGGAGCUGCCUUUAGAACAACCGUGUCUCAUGUGUCUGACAUUGUUGGACCGACUGGGUUGGUGUAUGCCGUUGAGUUCUCUCACCGGAGUGGUAGGGAUCUUGUCAACAUGGCCAAGAAGAGGACCAAUGUCAUCCCCAUCACUGAGGAUGCUAGGCACCCGGCAAAGUAA
rnacentral:rRNA from 1 species